AGCAAAUAAAUAAUAAUGGAAUUCUCAUCAAAUGAGGCAACUGAAGCUGUUGAGUUUUGGGAUAAAACAGUAGAGUUAGUUGGCUACGUACAAAGUGUUGUACCAAGAAGAUUAGGUUGAAAAUCGGAGAUAUUGAGAUUCUACUUAAGCAACAAAGAAAGGAAAAAAGUGCAAUGCGUUGUUUGGGGUGCUGACCACAUCCAUGUACUACAAUCAAAAAUAGUUGAAAAUGAGAUCUUACAUAUUGAUGGAGCUUUUUCGCGCGUUCCCACCAAACCUGAAUAUAAUUUCGGGAACAUGAAGUACGAAUUACAAAUGUUCAAAAAAAACGUCUAUAAUUUCUUACGGCAGAUAUGGUUCGAUUGAUGAACCAUCUUUUGAUAUUAAUCUAAUUAAUAUAAGUGACAUAAUUCAUCAUGAGGGUAAAAAAAUCAUCUUCGGUUAUAUUCAAACAAAAUUUCAAGAAGAAAAAGUUGGGGUUUUAAAAAAUUUUGGAACUUAUUGUUGUGGUUCCGUAACGGAUGGACAGUAUAAAUUAGAAGUGAGGAUUGCAUCCUUCAAUAACACUUUAAAGUGUAACAAGGGAGAGCCUGUGAAUUUGAUUGACAAAAUUGAUAGUCAAGGGAGCCAGAAUUUAUAUGCAACUACAAUCAGAGGAGGAUGUUGAAACUUUGGAACAAUGUGGUUUAUCUCUUCAACAAAUUCUUGGAGGUUUUCGAGAAUUAAAAAGAGCGAACAGUGGACAAAUAACAAAAAAAACACCAGAAAUUUAAUUAUUUAGAAUGACCAUUAAUGAUGAUCACCCAAUUUUUUGUGAAUGAAAAACAU